GUCCCUGGUAGUCCACGCUGUAAACGAUGUCGACUUGGAGGUUGUGCCCUUGAGGCGUGGCUUCCGGAGCUAACGCGUUAAGUCGACCGCCUGGGGAGUACGGCCGCAAGGUUAAAACUCAAAUGAAUUGACGGGGGCCCGCACAAGCGGUGGAGCAUGUGGUUUAAUUCGAUGCAACGCGAAGAACCUUACCUACUCUUGACAUCCACGGAAUUCGCCAGAGAUGGCUUAGUGCCUUCGGGAACCGUGAGACAGGUGCUGCAUGGCUGUCGUCAGCUCGUGUUGUGAAAUGUUGGGUUAAGUCCCGCAACGAGCGCAACCCUUAUCCUUUGUUGCCAGCACGUAAUGGUGGGAACUCAAAGGAGACUGCCGGUGAUAAACCGGAGGAAGGUGGGGAUGACGUCAAGUCAUCAUGGCCCUUACGAGUAGGGCUACACACGUGCUACAAUGGCAUAUACAAAGAGAAGCGAACUCGCGAGAGCAAGCGGACCUCAUAAAGUAUGUCGUAGUCCGGAUUGGAGUCUGCAACUCGACUCCAUGAAGUCGGAAUCGCUAGUAAUCGUAGAUCAGAAUGCUACGGUGAAUACGUUCCCGGGCCUUGUACACACCGCCCGUCACACCAUGGGAGUGGGUUGCAAAAGAAGUAGGUAGCUUAAC
rnacentral:rRNA from 2 species